rnacentral:lncRNA from 1 species
AGAAGUAAACAUCGUAUUUCGCUGUCAAAUUGUUUGGAACACACUCUGUUCGAAGAAUACUGGUUAUUGUCAAGUGAAUCGUGUAUGUGCUGAGGAGAAUUGUGUUAUUUGCGACAUGAAAGACGAACGUAAAAUAGCAACAUUGGGUGAAAACAUGUGUAGAUAGUUAAUUUCUGCAGCCAGAAAUAAAGGAGAACAAAUGUAUGUUAGACCUGAGAAAAUUGUGUGCUAUGAGUGUAGAAAAAUUACUGCCACCCGAAUCUACUUGGAGAUGCAAACGGUACCUCUAUAACGUAGCGAAACGGACACAUUGAUCUGACUUCUUUUCAUUUCAAAUGCCUGUUCUGAGGUACAGAUGUCAAACAAAACGACAAAAAGGCAUAUGAUGAUUUCCAAAUUUCAGUCAACAAUAAAGAAAAAUUGGAAGCGAAGUCUUCUGUUGACUCUAAUCCGUACAUGAUCUAA